rnacentral:rRNA from 2 species
GCUGGCGGCGUGCCUAAUACAUGCAAGUCGAACGAGUUCUCGUUGAUGAUCGGUGCUUGCACCGAGAUUCAACAUGGAACGAGUGGCGGACGGGUGAGUAACACGUGGGUAACCUGCCCUUAAGUGGGGGAUAACAUUUGGAAACAGAUGCUAAUACCGCAUAGAUCCAAGAACCGCAUGGUUCUUGGCUGAAAGAUGGCGUAAGCUAUCGCUUUUGGAUGGACCCGCGGCGUAUUAGCUAGUUGGUGAGGUAAUGGCUCACCAAGGCGAUGAUACGUAGCCGAACUGAGAGGUUGAUCGGCCACAUUGGGACUGAGACACGGCCCAAACUCCUACGGGAGGCAGCAGUAGGGAAUCUUCCACAAUGGACGCAAGUCUGAUGGAGCAACGCCGCGUGAGUGAAGAAGGCUUUCGGGUCGUAAAACUCUGUUGUUGGAGAAGAAUGGUCGGCAGAGUAACUGUUGUCGGCGUGACGGUAUCCAACCAGAAAGCCACGGCUAACUACGUGCCAGCAGCCGCGGUAAUACGUAGGUGGCAAGCGUUAUCCGGAUUUAUUGGGCGUAAAGCGAGCGCAGGCGGUUUUUUAAGUCUGAUGUGAAAGCCCUCGGCUUAACCGAGGAAGCGCAUCGGAAACUGGGAAACUUGAGUGCAGAAGAGGACAGUGGAACUCCAUGUGUAGCGGUGAAAUGCGUAGAUAUAUGGAAGAACACCAGUGGCGAAGGCGGCUGUCUGGUCUGUAACUGACGCUGAGGCUCGAAAGCAUGGGUAGCGAACAGGAUUAGAUACCCUGGUAGUCCAUGCCGUAAACGAUGAAUGCUAGGUGUUGGAGGGUUUCCGCCCUUCAGUGCCGCAGCUAACGCAUUAAGCAUUCCGCCUGGGGAGUACGACCGCAAGGUUGAAACUCAAAGGAAUUGACGGGGGCCCGCACAAGCGGUGGAGCAUGUGGUUUAAUUCGAAGCAACGCGAAGAACCUUACCAGGUCUUGACAUCUUUUGAUCACCUGAGAGAUCAGGUUUCCCCUUCGGGGGCAAAAUGACAGGUGGUGCAUGGUUGUCGUCAGCUCGUGUCGUGAGAUGUUGGGUUAAGUCCCGCAACGAGCGCAACCCUUAUGACUAGUUGCCAGCAUUUAGUUGGGCACUCUAGUAAGACUGCCGGUGACAAACCGGAGGAAGGUGGGGAUGACGUCAAAUCAUCAUGCCCCUUAUGACCUGGGCUACACACGUGCUACAAUGGAUGGUACAACGAGUUGCGAGACCGCGAGGUCAAGCUAAUCUCUUAAAGCCAUUCUCAGUUCGGACUGUAGGCUGCAACUCGCCUACACGAAGUCGGAAUCGCUAGUAAUCGCGGAUCAGCACGCCGCGGUGAAUACGUUCCCGGGCCUUGUACACACCGCCCGUCACACCAUGAGAGUUUGUAACACCCGAAGCCGGUGGCGUAACCCUUUUAGGGAGCGAGCCGUCUAAGGUGGGACAAAUGAUUUAGG